rnacentral:rRNA from 1 species
CAGUAGCCGCGGUAAUACGAGGGGGGCAAGCGUUGUUCGGAAUUAUCGGGCGUAAAGGGCGCGGAGGCGGUUUGGCAAGUUUGGUGUGAAAUCUUCGGGCUCAACUCGAAGUCCGCAUCGAAAACUGCCGGGCUUGAGUAUGGGAGAGGUGAGUGGAAUUUCCGGUGUAGCGGUGAAAUGCGUAGAUAUCGGAAGGAACACCUGUGGCGAGAGCGGCUCACUGGACCAUAACUGACGCUGAGGCGCGAAAGCUAGGGGAGCAAACAGGAUUAGAUACCCCAGUAGUCCCUGUCUCUUAUAC